AUGUUUACUAUGUACUAAAUCUAUUUAUAUUCAUUUUUCAAAAAUAACUUAUGUCACAUAACAUGUUGGUUGUUCAUGCGUUUUUUUUUUUUUUUUUUUUUUUUUUAGCUAGGUCGGUAUUUCUACCACUAUUUCUAAAGUGCUAAUGCUGUCGAGUGAAAAACUAGCUUAAAAUGCGCGCCAAUUCGGUUCAACUCGAAAUUAUUAUUAAAUUUGCCUUAUAAUUGUUAUGAAUGUAUAGUUUUAAUUUAAUGAAUAUAAUAGAAAUACUCGGAAUUAGUUGUGGUUUGAGGAAUAUAAUUCCCAUAUUUGUAAAAUGGCGGUUAAAAUCAAAUAUAACUGAAUGUGCAGACAGCACAUCAUCAGAGUAUUUUUUUUUACUUAAAUAUUUCAAACAAACUCAUAGUUUAUCCAUACUUUUACUUGGUAUUCUUGCUCUUUCUGCUAUGACAGACUGCAGUAGGGUGGUUAAUUCAAUUAUUUUUACUAACUUAAGUUUAAGUGACUAAUUAUUUUACGAAGUUGUGCCUGUCAUCAGGGAAUUGUGGGAUGCGAUGUUGCGAUUCCUGUCAUCUGCGUUUUGAUUGGUUGGAUUAGUUCCGGUUCUUGUCUUGCUUUGAGUUGUCGGAAGAAGCAUUGAGUGAUGGCAGAAACGUUUGUUCUUCGGUUUCUGGCGCUAAUGUUUGGAUAUUGAGUCAGUGAACUAACGUGAGUGCCUGUUUAGUUUAAUAUCAUUUGUGGUGGCCUUUAAUUUCCAUGUUAGCGGGGGAGCACUGUAGCCGAGUUAGCCCGCCGUCGUUCUCCUGCGGAAAUGCGCCUCGUUAAACUGAUUGCACACCGCGUUCAAACCGGUACUUUCAAUGAAACGUCCGUCGAUUUUGAGCUUCUGUUAUCACAACGAAAUCUGACCGCGAGCUGACAUGAGGGAGAAGAAUGUGUAUUUUAUCAUUAUACUUUGGUAGACUCGGUGCAUUGUUUACUUGUAAUUCUCAUCUUUAACAAAGCAUAUAAAGCAGUGGAUGCAACUCAGAAAUGUCCAUAUACAUUUAUUUAUUUAUUUAAUAUUGCAGGUCAUCACCACCCAGGCAGGUGAAAGAAAUCUACGCCGGGGGAUUUGUGGUCUUCUUUUCAAUCUGAGUGACCUUUCAGGGAGCGUUCAUUUCUCCAGGACCGGUCAUGACCGUUACUGAUGGUGAGAGUGGCACAAGCUACCUGGCAUGGAGGAUUAAAAACUAUUCAGCAAUCUGAAGCAGGACGCAGAAGAGCAUCACACAGAGGUUGGAACAAACAUUGCGGAAUACCUCCAGGGGGUGGAGUCCAGGUCCUAUCCAUCGGUUCUGGCCCUUGGACAAGUGACGCAAAAUUCUUUACAAGCUUUUGCUGUGAUGGCUGGUCAGGUAUACCCUGAAGAUGGACUGGAGCAGUUGGUGUCUGCUUCAAGACAUUUUAUGUGUUUGAUAUCAACUACCCCAUGCAGUGUGCCUCUUCAUGGGAGUUCCUCCAGAAAGUGGUUUAUGACAUGGAGGGACCAGAAUCUAACGAAGUUAAGUUUUUAAAGACUGUCUUAAAGAAUGUGAAAGUGUUUUUAAAAAAAAUCUGAGUUCAUAAUAGUUUAUGAAAAAAAAAAAAUUUAUUUGUUACAGAUGCUUUUUCUUCUACUUGCAGAAAAAUUGCUAACUACAACUUGUUACUGCUGCUUUUUUGAGAAAGCAUUUGUCUUCUGUAUUUUAUUGGUACCCCUUUUUCGGGUUUUAUUCUAAAUAAAUAUUUGUCAUUAA